AGCUCCAAUAGCGUAUAUUAAAGUUGUUGCAGUUAAAAAGCUCGUAGUUGAACCUUGGGGUUGGUCGACCGGUCCGCUUUUAUGGCGAGUACUGGAUUCGACCGAUCCUUUCCUUCUGGCUAACCUUCGUUCCUCACGGGGCGUUGGCGAACCAGGACUUUUACUUUGAAAAAAUUAGAGUGUUCAAAGCAGGCCUUUGCUCGAAUAUAUUAGCAUGGAAUAAUAGAAUAGGACGUUAUGGUUCUAUUUUGUUGGUUUCUAGGACCAUCGUAAUGAUUAAUAGGGACGGUCGGGGGCAUCAGUAUUCCGUUGUCAGAGGUGAAAUUCUUGGAUUUACGGAAGACUAACUACUGCGAAAGCAUUUGCCAAGGACGUUUUCA
rnacentral:rRNA from 1 species